AUGUCGUGUCUGCCAAAGUCUACACGUUACCUUCAAGCACGUUUUUUUCAGCCCAUAGGUGUCCAACCUUUUGGUUUUCCUGUGCUGCAUUGAGUGAAGAGGAACCUCGGGUUUGAGUCCACCACCUGUGAUGCAGCCAGAGUGCCGCCAGAAGUCAGUCACUAAAAUAACAUCGUGCAAAACGCCACCGGCUCCUCCAGGUGAGCUGAGCACUUUUGGCCAAGAUGUGGGUGACGGCAACCAGGGCAGGAUAAACCCUUAGAGGUGGCACUCGUCACCAAAGGUGGGGACUGAAGGCUUAGAGGAGCUCAAGGCUGUGUAGAAAUCUGGGAAGGUGAAUCAGGGUGAAGGUCUGGGGCAUCUGCUGGGACUGAGGAAGGAUGGGAGCCGGGCCGCCCCACAGGAGCCCAGGCCAGGCCUCCCGUCACGGCGGGGCUGUGGAUCGCCACGGCAGCGAGCCACCGGGAGUUCCCG
rnacentral:lncRNA from 1 species